ensembl:lncRNA
CUCUGCCUGGUGUUUUCUUCCUCUCUGUCACAGAUUCCAGGAUAAUAUAGUCAGUUUGGCUCAGGUCUCCUGAGGUUUCCACAUGUCCAAGUAGUUCUUUCUUUAAAGUCAGGAAUAAGGCUAGAAUAGCUCCUUUAUUAGUGCUUUCUCUGCCUAUGGGUUAAAGUGUCUGCAAGAAGGGAAAGUAUGAAAAAUUGGACAUUCUUUCAGGAUACACAGACCUAGAUGUGAUUUGUGGGAAUUUACUCAACUUCUCUAAUCUUCUGUUAAAUGAGACCAUAUUUAUAAUGUGCAAUUGUUUUGAAUAAUUAACAAAAUAACAUGUAGAAUAUCACAUUAGAGACUCAACAAUUUGUUGUUGAUUUAAAAGCUAUUGUUAGCCUUUCCCAUUUGAUGAUAUUCAAGAACAACUGAUUAAUUCUAAAUAAUUUGAAUAAAGUAAGACCUUUUCAAAAGAUGAAUGCUUCUAUUUUGCCCAUAAGGCAGAGGUGAAAUUCUUGAUGAUGCCACUCUAAUUCCAAACCAGUAUUGGCAUGGUAAACAGUAAGAGCUACACUUAAAAUGGGUUCGUUAGUUGUAUUUUUAAAGUCUUUUGGCUUUGUCUAGAAACUUACAAAUAACCCUUGAACAAUGCAGGGGUUGGGGCACUGACCCCCUGUGAAGUUGAAAAUCCACAGAUAACUUUUUUUCUUUUUCUUUUUCUUUUUUUGAGAUGGAGUCUCACUCUGUAGCCCUGACUGGAGUGCAGUGGUGCCAUAGCGGCUCACUGCAACCUCCGCCUUCUGGAUUCAAGUGAUUCUUGUGUCUCAGCUUCCCAAAUAGCUGGAAUUGCAGGUGAUUCCAGCAGGGGAAGUGAGCAAAAGAAAAGAGUGAAGCCCAGACAGAUAACAUCAAACAGGUUAUUGCUUGGGUCUAUAGAGCUGAUUGGGUCUAUAGAGCUCAAUUCUUCUGGGAACACCGAACAUCAAUACAGCACAGGCCUUGGAGUUAUCCUACAUGAAUGGCAAGGAAGCUAAUGUGUUUAACCUCCAAUUCCCCUUGGUUAUUGGCUGAUAAAUAUUCCCCAAAGUAUUAACUCCAUUCAGUGCUCAAGGUGCCUCACCAAUUUGGUGCACAUUGUCAUGAAAUUCAACUGCAACCACUAGCAUCUCUUUAGCUGAGGUGUUCCUCUGCUCAAGUGGUUUGCAGGAAGUUUCAUGGAAUUAAAGCCUUUGCUCCUCCCAGAAGCAGCCCAGCUCCUUGACCCCUAUGUGAGAUAGCUCCAGGGCAAGUGUGCUACUCCAUUUCCCAGCACUCUCCUGCAGAAUUAAGUUCAAGUUCCCUGAAGGGGCAACUUGCGUGAAUAACACACCUUCAUAGACUCCAUUCCUGUUCUCUUGUCUCUCACUCCCUGUCUUUUACCUUUGCUUGGUAGGGUCACUUCCAACAUUAACCAUCUGUACCAGAAUCCUUGCUCAGAACCUACUCCUAGGGACCCCAAACUAAGAAAGAUAAAAUGUUACUUUUCAUUUAUUAAUCUAAAUAAAAAGUUAGUUUUUGAAACUGGCUAUAAGAAGAUAAUAUUUCAUCAAUUUUUUUUUAGAGGCAGUUGUUAAGAAGAGAACCACAAAUCACUUGCUGGGGAUUGUUUCAGGUAGAGUCUGCCUGGGGGAAGCUGGGAUGUGCUAAUGGUUUCACACGGCAUUGCUAAGCCUGGCCUCUACUAUUUCGUUGCAAUGAUGGCCACCUCCCAAGUGGGAGCAGUGAAAGAAAGAAACAUAUACAUUCAAAUAUAAAAGUGAUUUCAUAGUUUGUAACAGGCAGUUAAUAAUAAGGCAUCCCAAUUUAUUCUUAUUUUAUACAAAAAUAAUUCAGAUCUUAAAAUCUGAAGAUGAAUAAUUUGUGCUUUAAAGAGAAAUAUGAAGCUCUGGAGGUUAUAUAACUACCUCAUCACUCACCUGCUUAAUGACUAUAGUUAUGAUUUCCAAAAGAAAAUAUAUAUCCAAUUAUUUCACUGACUGUUAAAGAACGUAGUAGACUACAAAAAAGCUUGUUUGGAGUGGGAAAAUGUCAAUGUACAAUGGAAAAGAACAAAUUAUAGUUACCAGGUCCUCAAUCUAUGUUUUAAUAUUAAUAUGUUGCUAUGUUUUUGGGACACAUUGUUUCAGAAAAUUAGUCUCAGGUUUCCAUAUUUUAUGAGAUGAUUUCAUUAGCUAAGGAAUGUCUAUUUUUGUUACUGCUAAGGGGAGCUCAAGAACUUCAAAUCAUAAUUGAAAUAUUCCAUUGAUGUAGUUGCUUAGCAACAAACUUUUAUAUAAGUAGACUAAUCAUUUUACUUACAAUUUUGUUACUUUAAACUUUUUGACUUAUUUUCAGCAGAUCACCUCACUGUGAAAUGUGUUUUUUCCUUCACAGCUUUAAAUGCAUAUUUGUAUCCGAGAUGAAUGUUUCAUAGACCAUAGCCAAAAUUUGAUUUCCUCUGAAUUAUCUCUAUGAACCAGGUUGACUUAGGAUCAUUGGAAUUAAGGAAAAUUUUGUGACUAGCAGGACUUUUUUUUUUUACUCCAAAAACAGCCUAAAUAAUGCUAGGGUUGUUAAGAGCAGCAAUU